rnacentral:rRNA from 1 species
AUGGCGACGAAGCAAGCGACCCUGCCCAGGUCGGGAGCUUUCUCAAAGGGCUACAACUUCGCGUACGCGUGGGAGAAGAACGCGCCGGUCACAGAGGAGCAGAAUGCCGCGAUCUCCGCGCUCUCGCACGCUGUGGCAGAGCGGCCGUUCCCGGUCAAUCUGGAACAUGGAGGUACGGCCGUGCCAGAAAAAGAAUCUGCUUUGGAGGAGGCGGGUGCAAUGGAUGCGGUCUUGGUGAAUACACAUCAGUUUUACAAAUGGUUUGCUGAACUGGAAUCAGCUAUGAAAUCUGAGACUGAGGAAAAGUAUCGCUUCUACGAGAGUACAUUAGAGGAACGUGUUAACACAUGUGAUGGCAUCCUUCAACAAGUGGAUGACACACAGAACUUAUUUGAAGAACUACAAUCCUUGCACUCGAGUGUUGCCAUAAAGACACAAACUUUGCAUGAUGCUUGCGACCAACUUUUGGUGGAGAAACAAAGGCUCAUUGGGUUCGCUGAAGCACUCCGAAGUAGGUUAAACUACUUUUAUGAAUUGGAAAAUGCCUCUACUAGCUUUUAUUCUCAGACUAUGAACAUCGGAAAUGAACAGUUUCUCCCACUGUUGAAAAGACUAGAUGAUUGUAUCUUAUAUGUUGAAAAUAAUCCACUGUAUGCUGAAUCUGCUGUUUACUUGGUCAAGUUUCGCCAACUUCAGUCUCGGGCAUUAGGUAUGAUCAGGUCACAUGUCUUGUCGACACUGAAAGCCGCUUCAUCCCAGGUUCAAGCCGCAAUUCGAGGCAGUGGUUCUGGCAAAAAUGCUGUUACAGAGGGUGUGGAAGCAUCUCUUAUCUAUGUUCGUUUCAAGGCAGCAGCUGGGGAGCUAAAACCGGUUUUCAAUGAGAUUGAAAGUAGAUCCUCUAAGAAAGAGUAUGCGCAGAUUCUUUCAGAAUGUCACAGUUUGUUUUGUGAGCAGAGGCUGUACUUGAUACGAGGUACGGUGCAGCAACGCAUUUCUGAGUUUGCUAAAAAAGAGACCUUACCUUCUUUUACAAGGUCUGGUUGUGCCUAUUUGAUGGAGGCAUGCCAGUUUGAGCACCAGCUUUUUGCUCACUUCUUCCCAGCAUCCGCACCAGAUGUUUCAACUAUGGCUCCUUUAAUGGAUCCAUUGUGCACACACUUAUAUGAUACUCUGAGGCCUAGACUGAUAUAUGAAGGCAACAUUGAUUCUCUCUGUGAACUCGUUGACAUUCUGAAGGUCGAAGUGUUGGGAGAACAACUGAGUAGACGUGGUAAAUCAGCAGCUGGACUCCGUCCAAUAUUGCAGAGGAUACUUGCAGAUGUUCUUGAGCGUCUGGCAUUUUGUGCUCGGACUCAUAUUCGUGAGGGGAUUGCAAAUUUUCGCCCUUCUGACGAAGAUCUGGAUUAUCCUGGAAAACUUGAGAGAUCUACAAUUUCAAGUGCUAAUGUUAGUGACAACUCAGACAUGUAUGCAACAUGGUACAGACCACUGGAGAAAACAGUUUCGUGCCUGUCAAAGCUAUAUCACUGCUUGGAAUCUUCGGUUUUUACUGGAUUAGCCCUUGAAGCCGUAGAAGUUUGCUCAGCAUCCCUUCAGAGUGCAAGCAAGGUCAUUGCAAAAAGAGCAACCCCAAUGGAUGGACAGCUUUUCCUAAUUAAGCACCUUCUCAUUUUAAGGGAACAGAUUGCACCAUUUGAGAUUGAGUUCUCAGUCACACACAAGGAGCUGGAUUUCUCCCAUUUGCUGGAUCACUUAAGAAGGAUUCUCAGGGGCCAGGUCUCAUUAUUUGACUGGUCAAGGUCAACAUCACUUGCUAGGACCUUUUCUCCCCGCAUUUUGGAGAACCAAAUUGACGCCAGAAAAGAACUGGAGAAAGGCCUUAAAUCUACUUGUGAAGAGUUUAUAAUGUCCAUCACUAAACUAGUAGUGGACCCAAUGCUUUCUUUUGUUACUAAGGUAACCGCUGUCAAAGUUGCACUGUCCUCAGGUAGCCAGGGCCAGAAUUUGGAUUCUGUUCUAGCAAAACCCCUUAAGACACAAGCAUUUGCUUCACCCGAUAAAGUUGCAGAGCUGGUUCAAAAGGUUGGGACUGCUAUUCAACAAGAUCUGCCCAAAGCAAUGACCAAGUUGAUGUUGUAUUUGCAAAAUCCAUCGACAAGAUUAAUUAUAUUCAAACCCAUCAAGUCGAAUAUAGUUGAGGCUCAUAUACAGCUACAGUCCCUUCUGAACUCAGAAUACUCGGCUGAAGAAAUUCAGUCUAUUGGUAUGCUGUCUAUAUCUGAUCUGCAAUCUCAGCUCGACAGUCUUCUGUAG